UACGUAGGGUGCGAGCGUUGUUCGGAAUUAUUGGGCGUAAAGAGCUCGUAGGCGGCGUGUCGCGUCGGCCGUGAAAACCUGCAGCUUAACUGUGGGCGUGCGGUCGAUACGGGCAUGACUGGAGUUCGGCAGGGGAGACUGGAAUUCCUGGUGUAGCGGUGAAAUGCGCAGAUAUCAGGAGGAACACCGGUGGCGAAGGCGGGUCUCUGGGCCGAUACUGACGCUGAGGCGCGAAAGCUAGGGGAGCAAACGGG
rnacentral:rRNA from 1 species